CCUACGGGAGACAGCAGUGAGGAAUAUUGGUCAAUGGACGAGAGUCUGAACCAGCCAAGUAGCGUGAAGGAUGACUGCCCUAUGGGUUGUAAACUUCUUUUAUAUAGGAAUAAAACGAGGCAUGUGUGCUUUUUUGUAUGUACUUUAUGAAUAAGGAUCGGCUAACUCCGUGCCAGCAGCCGCGGUAAUACGGAGGAUCCGUGCGUUAUCCGGAUUUAUUGGGUUUAAAGGGAGCGUAGAUGGGUUGUUAAGUCAGUUGUGAAAGUUUGCGGCUCAACCGUAAAAUUUCAAUUGAUACUGGCAGUCGUGAGUACAGUUGAGGUAGGCGGAAUUCGUUGUGUAGCGGUGAAAUGCUUAGAUAUCACGAAGAACCCCGAUUGCGAAGGCAGCUUACUGAACUGUGACUGACAUUGAUGCUCGAAAGUGUGGGUAUCAAACAGGAUUAGAUACCCAAGUAGUC
rnacentral:rRNA from 1 species